AUUGAACGCUGGCGGCAGGCUUAACACAUGCAAGUCGAGCGAGCGGCGGACGGGUGAGUAAUGUCUGGGAAACUGCCUGAUCGAGGGGGAUAACUACUGGAAACGGUAGCUAAUACCGCAUACCAUCAGAUGGGCCCAGAUGGGAUUAGCUAGUGGGUGGGGUAAUGGCGCACCUAGGCGAAGAUCCCUAGCUGGUCGGAGAGGAUGACAGGCCACACUGGAACUGAGACACGGUCCAGACUCCUACGGGAGGCAGCAGUGGGGAAUAUUGCACAAUGGGCGCAAGCCUGAUGCAGCAAUGCCGCGUGUGUGAAGAAGGCCUUCGGGUUGUAAAGCACUUUCAGCGGGGAGGCGUUACUCGCAGAAGAAGCACCGGCUAACUCCGUGCCAGCAGCCGCGGUAAUUC
rnacentral:rRNA from 1 species